GAUGAACGCUGGCGGCGUGCCUAAUACAUGCAAGUCGAGCGAAUGGAUUAAGAGCUUGCUCUUAUGAAGUUAGCGGCGGACGGGUGAGUAACACGUGGGUAACCUGCCCAUAAGACUGGGAUAACUCCGGGAAACCGGGGCUAAUACCGGAUAACAUUUUGAACCGCAUGGUUCGAAAUUGAAAGGCGGCUUCGGCUGUCACUUAUGGAUGGACCCGCGUCGCAUUAGCUAGUUGGUGGGGUAACGGCUCACCAAGGCAACGAUGCGUAGCCGACCGGGGAGGGUGAUCGGCCACACUGGGACUGAGACACGGCCCAGACUCCUACGGGAGGGAGCAGGAGGGAAUCUUCCGCAAUGGACGAAAGUCUGACGGGGCAACGCCGCGUGAGUGAUGAAGGCUUUCGUGUCGUAAAACUCUGUUGUUAGGGAAGAACAAGUGCUAGUUGAAUAAGCUGGCACCUUGACGGUACCUAACCAGAAAGCCACGGCUAACUACGUGCCAGCCGCCGCGGUAA
rnacentral:rRNA from 1 species